AGGGAAAGAGUUGUAGAACUGCAGCUUUUGGCUGUUCUCCAGGACUGGUGGGCAACUGUGGCAAGGAAAUUGAAAAGUAAAGUAGGAAACAUAAUGUCCUGAUAAAAAAACAACAGGGCUUCUUGUGCUGAGUGAAAAAUAGAACUUAUGCACUUCUUGGAUAAUUCUCUUGGAUGGCCUUCUAUUAAUUUUCUGGUCAGCUUCCCCCAAUAUUUUUCUACUUUGGAUAGGAGGACUACCUCUCAGCAUUUCCUGUAAUGGCAUUGCACACCUGUAUACCCAGUCUUUGGCAAUACACAUUACAGAUACUGGCCAAAAAAGAAUUAGAAAAUCAGUGUCAAAGUUGGAUUGUGGUCCCUGAAGACUUAGAUUAAUGGAAUUCUGCUGGAAACAUAAAGGUUGUUUCCCUGCUGUUCACAUCUGUUGCAUCCUGGGAAAAAAACAAAAAGGAAGAUGUUAUGUGAAGAGCUGAUGUUUGCAUCGCCGACUCUCCCUGAUUUGUGCUGAUGAUAGCUGAAGCUGCAGUCUUGGCAUCUUCUACUGCACAUUGUCAUCAGCAAGGUAAGAAGUGCCUUUUGCCUCCUGCCAUGAUUCUGAGGCCUCCCUCCCCAGCCAUGUGGAACC
rnacentral:lncRNA from 1 species